CUUGGUCAUUUAGAGGAAGUAAAAGUCGUAACAAGGUCUCCGUUGGUGAACCAGCGGAGGGAUCAUUAGAGAGCUUAAAAAACUCCCGCAAAACCCCUGUGAACAUACCUUACGUUGCCUCGGCAGGCCCUGGCCGCGCACCCCCGCGGCCGCCCUACCUUGUAGGGCUCGCGGGGGAGGCGCGGGCGGGACCUGCCGGCGGCCCGCGAGAUGAGAGAUCAUCAAAACCCGUCUAGCACUGAAUUCUGAGCCGGUAUAAUAGAUAAUUAAGUUAAAACUUUCAACAACGGAUCUCUUGGUUCUGGCAUCGAUGAAGAACGCAGCGAAAUGCGAUAAGUAAUGUGAAUUGCAGAAUUCAGUGAAUCAUCGAAUCUUUGAACGCACAUUGCGCCCAUUAGUAUUCUAGUGGGCAUGCCUGUUCGAGCGUCAUUUCAACCCCUUAAGCCCCUGUUGCUUAGCGUUGGGAGCUUACGGCCCGCCGUAGCUCCUUAAAGUUAGUGGCGGAGUCGGCCCGCACCCCAGGCGUAGUAGUCAAACCACCUCGCCCGCGGUCGGACCGGUCCCCUGCCGUAAAACCCCCCGGUUUCUCGCAGAGGUUGACCUCGGAUCAGGUAGGAAUACCCGCUGAACUUAAGCAUAUCAAUAAGCGGAGGA
rnacentral:rRNA from 1 species